UAAAAAAUUUCGCGUAGGCGGGGAACAAAAUUGAACAUAAUCAGUUUCCAACUUUACCUCACCCACUGACCCAUUUUCUCCGCUCUUCCCCGAAACCCUCUCUCUCUCUCUCUCUCCCCCUCACCCCCAUAUUCUUUGUGGCUCAUCUCGAAGGUGGACUGAACGGAACUAUGUGACCUUGCUUCUAGUCGUGACCGGAGGACGUGCAGUCUGCCGUUGACUCGUCGGAGGAAGGCGAAGAAGAUGGUGGCUGCGGUGAGUCCACCUUGGUGGUCGGAGAUCGAUGACGGAGGAAAGAGUCUUCCAGAUCCAGUUUCUCUCUCCUCCAUCUCUCUCUAUGGAAAGGAGACCUUGGUUGGAUUGCAUUCUAACAAAUUGGAGUCACCCGAGCUGAAGACCCGCAUUGAGGCUUUAACAGAAAUACAGGGCCAACUCAAGGUCCUGGAAACAAAAUCUUUUUGAGGAGAGAGCUGCACUGAAAGCUAAACAGAAGCGUUUGCAAGAAGAGAGGCAUAACUUUAGGCUUUAUACACUGAAAAAUAAUGAAGUGCUUGCUAAGGAGAUCACAGCGCAUGAUGAAGAGGCUUUCAUGAGCUUUGAUGUGUUUGUUGACAGGCCACAGACGUCCUAAGUCAGAUGCACCGGGGUUAUGACAUUUUGUAAGGAAGUACAGCUUUUUGAAACAAUGAUUUCGAUGAAUUGGUUAAUUGUGAAUUUUGCUCAGUCUAAUCACAGCUAACUACUCACGAGACAGCAUAUUAGAGUGCACUAGAUUCAGCCUUUAUUUAUGUCUAGGACUUGUGAAGUUGUAAUUGAGAGUGCAGGGAAGGAAUCUAACAUAAUUAGAGUCUAUAGAGAUGAAAAAGGCCAACGUUGAUUAGAGAAUGCUUGAAUAAGAAUAACAUAGAUUGAGUAUAAACAAAUGUCCAUCAGAUUCUGUCAUGUUAUGACAUGUGUAGUUCAUAUUUGAUAAUUCAUGAGAAGCUACAUAUCAUCUCUUUCAAAUAUAAAUCCAAUGACAUGUUUCUGGUGCCAUGUACAGUUCAACAAUUCGAGAUGAAAUCAUCCACCAAUGGCACCAAGUGAAUGGGAAAAAGGUAAUACAUAUAUGUAUGAUGUAUCUGAUUUAUAUUUUUGGCAGAUUGUGCUUUUUUUUUUUUGUCUCAAGGAAAGUUUCUUUUGUCAAGUAAACUUUUCCAGCAGCGAGAAAUAGAGAUUGUUUGCAAUAUUUGGUUAGUUCUGAUGUCGUCACUAUAUAAUUAAAAUUCCAGUUUGGUUUUUACAAAAGCUACUGCAUGAUAAACUUAAAUUGUUUGGGUAAAUAUAUUAGAGAUAAAUUCUUACAAAAAAAUAAUUAAGCCUAAUGAUUAAGUAUUCUUUCCAAAAUUCCCAUAAUUCAUGCAUGUACGUAGGGCAUCAGGAUCUACUGAAAACAAUAUUUUUAAGAGAGAGAGCUGUGUUGGAAGGAAAAUAUCAGAAGCUUUACGAACCUCUCUACAAAAAUGUAUGCACUCAAGUCAUAUAGUAGUAGGCACCCUGGCAUUCGGUAAUGAUGUAUUCGUGGCUGAUUUAUGACUAUUAUACGAAUGAUUAGCUUAUUGUUAUCUCUUUCAUCUCUUUUUCCUAAAAUUGAAUUGCAUUGAUCUAUUUCACAGCUAUGCAGGAAGCUGAAGGUACAGUAUUGGUGGUUCAUUUAGUAACUGUUUGUUCUUUGACAAUGAGAAUUUAUUUGUUGUUGCUUUAGACAAAUUGCAGGGAAAGAACUGUCCUGUUUCUGGCUGAAUGCAAUGAAGAACAAUGACAUGCUAUCCGAGGAGGUGGGGGCUUAUUUGUGCAUUACCUUAUCUCAUAUUUAAUGUUUACCAGCCCCACCGAUUGUUCCCAUGUUAUUUUGGAGACUUCAAUCUUGUUCUUUUCUGUUGUUGUAUAUGGAGAAGUUUAGGCUAUAUAUAUGUCCCCUUCUUCUUACUCUUUGUAUUUGUUUUUUCAAAAAUAGUAUUAAUGAGAAUUUUCUUUUGGUUACAA